rnacentral:rRNA from 1 species
CAGUAGCCGCGGGAAUACGAGGGGGACAAGCGUUGUUCGGAAUUAUUGGGCGUAAAGGGUGCGUAGGCGGUUUGACAAGUCAUCUGUGAAACCUAUGGGCUCAACCCAUAGUCUGCAGGCGAAACUGUCGGGCUUGAGUAUGGGAGAGGUGAGUGGAAUCUCCGGUGUAGCGGUGAAAUGCGUGGAUAUCGGAAGGAACACCUGUGGCGAAAGCGGCUCACUGGACCAUAACUGACGCUGAGGCACGAAAGCUAGGGGAGCAAACAGGAUUAGAUACCCGAGUAGUCCCUGUCUCUUAUAC